AAACUAACAAGGAUUCCCCUAGUAACUGCGAGUGAAGCGGGAAGAGCUCAAAUUUAAAAUCUGGUGGUCUUUGGCCAUCCGAGUUGUAAUCUGGAGAAGUGUUUUCCGUGUCGGACCGUGUACAAGUCUCUUGGAACAGAGCGUCAUAGAGGGUGAGAAUCCCGUCCAUGACACGGACUACCGAUGCUAUGUGAUACACUCUCAAAGAGUCGAGUUGUUUGGGAAUGCAGCUCAAAAUGGGUGGUAAAUUCCAUCUAAAGCUAAAUAUUGGCGAGAGACCGAUAGCGAACAAGUACCGUGAGGGAAAGAUGAAAAGCACUUUGGAAAGAGAGUUAAACAGUACGUGAAAUUGUUGAAAGGGAAACGCUUGAAGUCAGUCGCGUUGUUCAGGACUCAGCCUUGUUUUUGCUUGGUGUACUUCCUGUUCAACGGGUCAACAUCGAUUUUGACCGGCGGAUAAAGGUGGGGGGAAUGUGGCACCUUCGGGUGUGUUAUAGCCCUCUAUUGCAUACGUCGGUUGGGAUUGAGGACCGCAGCGCGCCCUCUGGGCCAGGGGUUCGCCCCAUGUAACGCGCUUAGGAUGUUGGCAUAAUGGCUUUAAGGACCCGUCU
rnacentral:rRNA from 1 species